rnacentral:lncRNA from 10 species
CGGGGCGUUCUGCUUCCUUUGGGAAGUCGCGGACCCGGGCGUUUCCCGGGACGCUGGCUCUGACGCCUGCGAAGGGCAGGACGGGGCUAAGGCCAUUCCGCUGCCCUUCCAGCUUUGGAAUCACCCAAUGCACGGGUUUCAACCGUAGCCAGCAAGAUGCGCCUCUCCGGUUUUCUGAGGCUUUGGAGCCUGCACAAUUGUUCUACAAAAGGCGGUGGCUCUGCCUAGUGUUGGAUGGGCGCGUGCUCUGCAUGGUGAGGCGGGAGCGACAGUUGACUGUCCAUUCGUGUGUCGCAGUCGGGUGGUGUGCUUGCUUCCAAGUUUGGAGGCACAGAGGAAAGACUAUGGGAGGACACAGCAAGAAAGUGGCUUUCUGCAAGCCAGGAAGAGAGGCCUCCCCAGAAACCAACCCUGCUAGCACAUCCAACCUCACAAAAGACUCAAGAAGAACUUCUGGCCUCCAGAACUUUGAGAAAAUGUCUAUUGUUAAGCCACGAAAACUUUGUUAUCUUUCUGUGGCAGCCUGAGCUGACUAAUACCUUUGGUAGGUGGGCGGCAUUCACCUAAUUGGGCUAUAUGAUGUGAAGUUAAAGUACCUUUAGCAAUAGGCACCAUCUAAUUUCGUUGUAUAGAUAUUGUGUCUUUUGCAUUGAUAUUGCCUCUCUUAGUUGUAUGUAUAUUGAUGCAUGAGGCUAGGAUUACAAGACUAGUCAAAAUAGGAAGAAAGAAGAGAAAGGUGGUGAAGAUAUGAAGUUCCAUAAUUGCAUCCUCUACCCACAUCCUGUUCUUAGAAUAUUUUCCACUGGAGGCUGCACCUGUAUACCCUCAAAUUCAAUCUGAGCACACAAUUAUUUAUACAAGCAAGGCAACUUUUCCAAUUUUGCCUAUCACCUGCUUGGAGAAACAAGUACUUCAAUCACCAAUUUGAAUAUUCAUUGAGAUAAUUGUUAGGAGGUUGAUAAAAAAUGUGGCAUCUCCCUGUAUUGUUGCCUUCUCCUGGGCCAACAAUGCCGUCUGUACUCUGCUGGUCUGCAUUUGACCACAAACUGGAGUUGCAGCAAAUCUUAGCCUCUUGGGAAGCCUAUUUUUUUUAAUUUUAUUAUUAUUAUAUUUUAAAUUUUAGGGUACAUGUGCACAAUGUGCAGGUUUGUUACAUAUGUAUAUGUGUGCCAUGUUGGUGUGCUGCACCCAUUAACUCGUCAUUUAGCAUUACAUAUAUCUCCUAAUGCUAUCCCUCCUGCUUCCCCCCACCUCACAACAGUCCCCGAAGCGUGAUGUUCCCCUUCCUGUGUCCAUGUGUUCCCAUUGUUCAAUUCCCACCUAUGAGUGAGAACAUGUGGUGUUUGGUUUUUUGUCCUUGCGAUAGUUUGCUGAGAAUGAUGGUUUCCAGUUUCAUACAUGUCCCUACAAAGGACAUGAACUCUUCACUUUUUAUGGCUGCAUAGUAUUUCAUGGUGUAUAUAUGCCACACUUUCUUAAUCCAGUCUAUCAUUGUUGGACAUUUGGGUUGGUUCCAAGUCUU